rnacentral:rRNA from 1 species
ACGGUACAACGAGUCGCAAGCUCGCGAGAGUAAGCUAAUCUCUUAAAGCCGUUCCCAGUUCGGACUGUAGGCUGCAACUCGCCUACACGAAGUCGGAAUCGCUAGUAAUCGCGGAUCAGCAUGCCGCGGUGAAUACGUUCCCGGGCCUUGUACACACCGCCCGUCACACCAUGGGAGUUUGUAACGCCCAAAGUCGGUGGCCUAACCUUUAUGGAGGGAGCCGCCUAAGGCGGGACAGAUGACUGGGGUGAAGUCGUAACAAGGUAGC